UCUCACUCUGUUCUCUAGAAUAUGAGUAAUGAAGAGGAGCCAGUGCUGAAGAGAGAUUUACAGGACUUGUGGCUUUGGGUUAGUCAGCGUGGUAUAAAGAGGGUUUUAAGGGUGCUGCCAGAGAGACAUCCUACACGCCAUAAAUACCUCUCCAAUCUGGAGAAUCUCUUCAGAGAUUUUGAGGCGCUUUAUUACAAACGGAAUCCCAAAGAUGAAGAGAGAGAACUUCCAGAGAGAAUACUAAACAUCGUGUAUCGCUUGACAGACCCAUCUUACGAGGGAUGGAAGUCUGUUACACCUAAGUCAAUACUGGACAACUGUUAUCGGACCAUGCUUUGCCUGUUCAAAGAGUGCUUCUCAAAAGAGGAUGACAAUUAUGAUUAUUGUGAAGUCCUCAACUGGAGGAAAGGGAAGAAAACUACAUAGCAGCAGAUCUAAGUAGAUCUGAUCUUGUCUUGGUGUUGCUGGUGUAGGUGUAAAAGGGUGUUACCUGGUUUAUGUAGUGACACGCAGCAUGCUUGUGUGCCUCUUGACCUAGUGAAGUCACUGACUGCCUCCCAUAUGGAGUUAUGGAGUGUUACCCAUAUGGAAAAAUGCAACAGCCAUCACACCAGUUGGAAGACACUCUACUGACCCUGCAGAUAUUGCUGUCCAUCAUUCAGAACAUUCAUACCUCCAUCCACCCGCCUGCUUGCCUACUUGCAUAUUUAUGUGGUAUUUUGCUAAUAAAUGAUCAUGCAUGCACUGUGUGUGUGCUCUGUGGAGGGGAGCAGCUUUGACUCUUCACUGUAGCAUUUACAAUUGGUAAUUCCCCCAAAAAAGGCUUUGCCACUGUGACAUAAUAUUUCUGAGGAAAAUACAUAUUUUGUCCUUGAUGUAUGCCAAAAAAAGUAUAUUAUCAUUGCCACGUUGUAAAUGUUCUUGGUAAGAUUUAGGUAAGAUCUAUAAAUAACGUGGAGCUCCUUUUGAACACAUAUCAUUUGCAUGCAAAUGUUGUGCUGACUGCUGGCCUAGUCGGCAUUGUUGCUUUUACCCAGAGGCGCCUUACUUUGUGCUUUACUGCUGGUUAAAUGUUGAAAGAUUGCACCAAAGUAUUCCUAUAGAAAGCUUUAAGGUGAUAAAGAGGGUUUGAUUUCAGGUUUGCAUAUGUUUUAUACACAGAUUUUAAUCUAGGUUAUUUAUUUGGACUCCUGCCACAGAAUGUUCUGGUAACUGUUGUAACAUGGCUUGGAAAAUAAACCUCUCACUAUCA